rnacentral:rRNA from 1 species
UACGGGGGGGGCAAGCGUUGUUCGGAAUUACUGGGCGUAAAGGGUUUGUAGGUGGCCUGCUAAGUCAGACGUGAAAUCCCUCAGCUUAACUGGGGAACUGCGUCUGAGACUGGUAGGCUCGAGGACAGGAGAGGAACGCGGAAUUCCAGGUGUAGCGGUGAAAUGCGUAGAUAUCUGGAGGAACACCGGUGGCGAAGGCGGCGUUCUGGACUGUUUCUGACGCUGAGGCGCGAAAGCUAGGGGAGCAAACGGG